UUAAGGAAAAAUAAAAGAUGCAAUUGUAGGUAACAAAUAAGCAAUUCUUCAAUCGGGGUAAAAACCAGACAAAGAUAUCGCACCUUCAAAUGAAUAGAUCCAUAAACACCUAAACUAGCAUAGAACACUUGUACAAAGUCGACGUCAAAGCAUUCCAAUAGAUUCAGGAUCCAUUGGCUUAAGGAAAGUUGAAACCCUUCAACUUAGUCUUUAUCCACUUCAAAUCCAACACUUGAAUUUCUCCGAUCUAAACAUUCGGUGAUUCGCUUGUGUUUUUGAAAAUAUUUUUGUUGAUCCACCACGAGGUCGCUCUCCCCACCAUUCGGGAUAGCCAAUCAAUUGAAAAUAACUAUCUGGAUCAUGUUCGGAACGGUUGUAGUGACUACACAACAUGGAAUAUUGUAAUUUGAGACUAUCUAUUUGUUUGAGAUUAAAAAUAUUGUUGUUUUUUAUUGAUAUUGUGAGUGAUAUGGGAAAGAAUGUUAUGCCAUGCGAAUAUAAAUAGACAAACAAAACUACCACAAAUACAGAGGAUGGAAAUUAGCAUUCAUAAUUUUAUAGAAUGUAAUCCUUUUCGCAAGGGAUUUAAAUAUAUGAGAAUUACAAUGAUAUUCACAAAAUUAAUGCUCAAUAUAUUGAUGACAAAAAUAUUGAUGGAUGUUAGUUCUUAUUU
rnacentral:lncRNA from 1 species